rnacentral:rRNA from 1 species
AAGGAUCAUUACAGAGUUCAUGCCCUCACGGGUAGAUCUCCCACCCUUGAAUAUUAUACCUUAGUUGCUUUGGCAGGCCGGGGCAACCCCCGGGGCUUCGGCCUUGGUGUGCCUGCCAGAGGAAACAAACUCUGUUUUUAGUGAUGUCUGAGUACUAUAUAAUAGUUAAAACUUUCAACAACGGAUCUCUUGGUUCUGGCAUCGAUGAAGAACGCAGCGAAAUGCGAUAAGUAAUGUGAAUUGCAGAAUUCAGUGAAUCAUCGAAUCUUUGAACGCACAUUGCGCCCCGUGGUAUUCCGCGGGGCAUGCCUGUUCGAGCGUCAUUUCAACCCAUCAAGCUUCGGCUUGGUCUUGGGGCCUGCGAUUCCGCAGCCUCUAAACCCAGUGGCGGUGCCUCCGAGCUCUGAGCGUAGUAAUUCUUCUCGCUAUAGGGUCUCGGUGGUGUCUUGCCAGCAACCCCCAAUUUUUUACAGGUUGACCUCGGAUCAGGUAGGGAUACCCGCUGAACUUAAGCAUAUCAAUAAGCGGAGGAAAAGAAACCAACAGGGAUUACCUCAGUAACGGCGAGUGAAGCGGUAACAGCUCAAAUUUGAAAUCUGCCGCAAGGCCGAGUUGUAAUUUGUAGAAGAUGCUUUGGGUAUGGCCCCGGUCUAAGUUCGUUGGAACACGACGUCAUAGAGGGUGAGAAUCCCGUAUGUGACUGGGUGCUUUUGCCUAUGUAAAGCUCUUUCGACGAGUCGAGUUGUUUUGGAAUGCAGCUCAAAAUGGGUGGUAUAUUUCAUCUAAAGCUAAAUAUUGGCCAGAGACCGAUAGCGCACAAGUAGAGUGAUCGAAAGAUGAAAAGCACUUUGGAAAGAGAGUUAAACAGUACGUGAAAUUGUUGAAAGGGAAGCGCUUGCAACCAGACUUGCACGCUGUUGAUCAUCCAGGCUUCUGUCUGGUGCACUCGGCAGCGUCCAGGCCAGCAUCGGUUCUGGUGGUGGGAUAAAGGCCUUGGGAAUGUAGCUUCCUUCGGGGAGUGUUAUAGCCCUCGGUGCAAUGCCGCCUAUCGGGACCGAGGACCGCGCUUCGGCUAGGAUGCUGGCGUAAUGGUUGUAAGCGACC